GACGUUUCCGAGUCGCCUGUAAAGAUGUUUUUGGGGCAACUGGGUCGCCUCUAAUUGUGUAAAUAUCUGACAUUUAAAAAUAAAAAAACUAAAUAAAAGACCCUAAAAAUACUAAGUUCUAAAGGAGCUCUGUACAAAAGAGACCGAAGCUCCAUUUUUCUUCUUCCCUCUUCUCGAUUCUCUCUGCAAAAGCUACAUUACUUCUUGAAGUUUCUCAAAUUAAAUCUUUCAGUUUUGUUUAAUCACAAGAUGUGAACCUAAUUUAUGAAACCCAAAAGCCCUAAGACCACUUGUUUUCUAAGAUUGUAUUCAAAUCAGGUAAUGCUCUCAAACCCCAAAUCCUUUUGGGUGUUAAAUGCAGUUAGCGAGAGUGACUAUUUCAUCAAUUUUACCUCUAAUUUCUUUAACCCAUUUGAAAUCUACAGGAGUAUAAAGUAAUUUCCCCCCCACUUUCCUUCGUGUACAGCCCUUUCUCGGUGUUGAUGAUCUCUUUCGCUGGGUAAG
rnacentral:lncRNA from 1 species